GACAGAGGGUGCAAACGUUGUUCGGAAUUACUGGGCGUAAAGCGCGUGUAGGCUGCUUUGCAAGUCGGAUGUGAAAGCCCCGGGCUCAACCUGGGAAGUGCACUCGAAACUGCAGAGCUCGAGUCCUGGAGAGGAAGGCGGAAUUCUCGGUGCAGAGGUGAAAUUCGUAGAUAUCGAGAGGAACACCGGUGGCGAAGGCGGCCUUCUGGACAGUGACUGACGCUGAGACACGAAAGCGUGGGGAGCAAACAGG
rnacentral:rRNA from 1 species